GUGACGGGUGACUGAAGCAGUGGGUUAAAUUCCUCCGAUAAAAAAAUGCAGGUAUCAGUUUUGUUCAUCUGUUGAAGUACAAACAAGAUGAACUUUGUUUUUUGGAUGGAAGAGGUCAUCUGUGGCUAUGGCAGUAAUCUACAGCUGUUAAACUCACUCCCUUUGGGCGGAGGACUUAGACUAAAUCAGGGCUAAGGAGGAACUUUGCUCACCACGCCUGCUAGGAACUUGUAAAACUGAGUCACAAAGGUGCUGGCAACUCCUUCCUUGGGGAAGCUUUGUGCGUUGGGAUUGAUUUAUGUAAUCGCGUCUGCAGUCCAAGCAUGUGAGUUUUUUCCAGUUUAUUUUUGUAUUUAUAAAACACUAAUAAUCUAUUACCCCCUUAAAAUUUAUAUCCCUUUCUCGGCAUCUACUGCUGUGAGGUAUGAAGUGUGGAUCAUGUGAAUAAUUCUUGGGAUGUACUUGUCAUUUUUAAAAAAUGAUUUUCGUAUUUUCUGAUAGAGAAGAGACAGUAGUAGUCUAAACUAUCGAAGCCCAAGAAAGGUCAUGCUGAAAUUUUAACUUGGCUUGUGAAGAUCCUAUAUUUCAAUGUCAGUUUCUUUUCAGGAUAAGUUAUGACCAUUAAACAAAAUAACGCAAAUGAGAUUUAUUCAACACUAUCUUCGAAAGCACACCUUAGGUUCCAGAGAGCAGCCUAGCAGCCGGCACACAGACCAUAACGUCAAGAGACUUUUGGAAUCAAUUGAGAUUGUUCAGAUUUCCGAUGCGGAGAUGCACCGGAGUUCUAAUGCCCACCCCUCGCAGCUGAUGGAGGACAAAACCCAAGUGUCUGGAGGAACGGGCAGCUGUCUCGGGGUCACACAGCUUGGAUCUGCAGUUUCAUUUCAGUUCCUGACGUGUGCUAACAAGCAAUGUUAGCAAAACAGAGUGUUGAUUCCAGCUUAGCCGGCAUUGUAGGAAAGGGAGAAUUACAGGGCCAGCAAAGGAGUGAGUAGGGUUUUGGGGAGGGAAGGAUGCCCGGGCAGCGUAUGGCAGUGAGACUGCCUGCCCGAUGCCGUAGCACGGCAGGCAGGGUAUCGCGCACUUGUUCAGCCAUGCUGUGGUAUCAGAUGUGCUGGCCAGGAGUGAAGCCUGGCGUCAGCUGUGCACGCU